rnacentral:rRNA from 1 species
AUUGAACGCUGGCGGCAGGCCUAACACAUGCAAGUCGAGCGGAUGAAGGGAGCUUGCUCCUGGAUUCAGCGGCGGACGGGUGAGUAAUGCCUAGGAAUCUGCCUGGUAGUGGGGGAUAACGUCCGUAAACGGGCGCUAAUACCGCAUACGUCCUUAGGGAGAAAGUGAGGGAUCUUCAGACCUCACGCUAUCUGAUGAGCCUAGGUCGGAUUAGCUAGUUGGUGGGGUAAAGGCCUACCAAGGCGACGAUCCGUAACUGGUCUGAGAGGAUGAUCAGUCACACUGGAACUGAGACACGGUCCAGACUCCUACGGGAGGCAGCAGUGGGGAAUAUUGGACAAUGGGCGAAAGCCUGAUCCAGCCAUGCCGCGUGUGUGAAGAAGGUCUUCGGAUUGUAAAGCACUUUAAGUUGGGAGGAAGGACAGUAAGUUAAUACCUUGAUGUUUUGACGGUACCAACAGAAUAAGCACCGGCUAACUUCGUG